rnacentral:rRNA from 1 species
GAUGAACGCUGGCGGCGUGCCUAAUACAUGCAAGUCGAGCGAACGGACGAGAAGCUUGCUUCUCUGAUGUUAGCGGCGGACGGGUGAGUAACACGUGGAUAACCUACCUAUAAGACUGGGAUAACUUCGGGAAACCGUAGCUAAUACCGGAUAAUAUUUUGAACCGCAUGGUUCAAAAGUGAAAGACGGUCUUGCUGUCACUUAUAGAUGGAUCCGCGCUGCAUUAGCUAGUUGGUAAGGUGACGGCUUACCAAGGCAACGAUGCAUAGCCGACCUGAGAGGUUGGUGGCCACACUGGAACUGAGACACGGUCCAGACUCCUACGGGAGGCAGCAGUAGGGAAUCUUCCGCAAUGGGCGAAAGCCUGACGGAGCAACGCCGCGUGAGUGAUGAAGGUCUUCGGAUCGUAAAACUCUGUUAUUAGGGAAGAACAUAUGUGUAAGUAACUGUGCACAUCUUGACGGUACCUAAUCAGAAAGCCACGGCUAACUACGUG